UCCGUCAACGGUAAAUGUCUGACUGGAACGAAGUGGAAGGAAUUUAAGGAGUUGACGGGUUGCUCUCA
rnacentral:sRNA from 1 species